rnacentral:rRNA from 1 species
CCUACGGGUGGCAGCAGUGGGGAAUAUUGGACAAUGGGGGCAACCCUGAUCCAGCCAUGCCGCGUGUGUGAAGAAGGCCCUCGGGUUGUAAAGCACUUUCAGUGAGGAAGAACGCCUGGUGGUUAAUACCCAUCAGGAAAGACAUCACUCACAGAAGAAGCACCGGCUAACUCCGUGCCAGCAGCCGCGGUAAUACGGAGGGUGCGAGCGUUAAUCGGAAUUACUGGGCGUAAAGCGCGCGUAGGUGGCUUGAUAAGCCGGUUGUGAAAGCCCCGGGCUCAACCUGUGAACGGCAUCCGGAACUGUCAAGCUAGAGUGCAGGAGAGGAAGGUAGAAUUCCCGGUGUAGCGGUGAAAUGCGUAGAGAUCGGGAGGAAUACCAGUGGCGAAGGAGGCCUUCUGGACUGACACUGACACUGAGGUGCGAAAGCGUGGGUAGCAAACAGGAUUAGAUACCCGGGUAGUC